GUAACUGCGAGGUUACAUCUGAAGGAAGCGAGACUACAAAGCUCGGUACUGACGGACAGGAACCGUAUAUGAGGCAUUUAUGCAUGGGUAAGCAAGCACAUCAUUGUAACGCCCAAUGAGUACAAAAGGUGCAUUUAUGUAGAUACGGCAGGAAUCGGGGGAAAGAAGAUGCC
rfam:Arenibacter sp. C-21 DNA, contig: C21_contig0073.